AUUGAACGCUGGCGGCAUGCCUUACACAUGCAAGUCGAACGGCAGCACGGGAGCAAUCCUGGUGGCGAGUGGCGAACGGGUGAGUAAUAUAUCGGAACGUGCCCAGUAGUGGGGGAUAGCCCGGCGAAAGCCGGAUUAAUACCGCAUACGACCUGUGGGUGAAAGCGGGGGAUCGCAAGACCUCGCGCUAUUGGAGCGGCCGAUAUCAGAUUAGCUUGUUGGUGGGGUAAAAAGCCCACCAAGGCGACGAUCUGUAGCUGGUCUGAGAGGACGACCAGCCACACUGGGACUGAGACACGGCCCAGACUCCUACGGGAGGCAGCAGUGGGGAAUUUUGGACAAUGGGGGGCAACCCUGAUCCAGCAAUGCCGCGUGAGUGAAGAAGGCCUCGGUUGUAAGACUCUUUUGUUCAGGGAAGGAAACGGUAGAGAGCUAAU
rnacentral:rRNA from 1 species